rnacentral:rRNA from 1 species
AACGAGCGCUGGCGGCAUGCCUAACACAUGCAAGUCGAACGAGACCUUCGGGUCUAGUGGCGCACGGGUGCGUAACGCGUGGGAACCUGCCCUUAGGUUCGGAAUAACUCCCCGAAAGGGGUGCUAAUACCGGAUAAUGUCUUCGGACCAAAGAUUUCUCGCCUUUGGAUGGGCCCGCGUUGGAUUAGCUAGUUGGUAGGGUAAAAGCCUACCAAGGCGACGAUGCAUAGCUGGUCUGAGAGGAUGAUCAGCCACACUGGGACUGAGACACGGCCCAGACUCCUACGGGAGGCAGCAGUGGGGAAUAUUGGACGAUGGGCGAAAGCCUGAUCCAGCAAUGCCGCGUGAGUGAUGAAGGCCUUAGGGUUGUAAAGCUCUUUUACCCGGGAUGAUAAUGACAGUACCGGGAGAAUAAGCUCCGGCUAACUCCGUG